UACGUAGGGCGCAAGCGUUAUCCGGAAUUAUUGGGCGUAAAGAGCUCGUAGGUGGUUUGUCGCGUUGUUCGUGAAAACUCACAGCUCAACUGUGGGCGUGCGGGCGAUACGGGCAGAACUUGAGUACUGCAGGGGAGACUGGAAUUCCUGGUGUAAGCGGUGAAAUGCGCAGAUAAUCAGGAGGAACACCGGUGGCGAAGGCGGG
rnacentral:rRNA from 1 species